rnacentral:rRNA from 1 species
CUCGGAGUUUGAUCCUGGCUCAGAUUGAACGCUGGCGGAAUGCUUUACACAUGCAAGUCGAACGGUAGAGGGGGCAACCCCUUGAGAGUGGCGAACGGGUGAGUAAUAUAUCGGAACGUGCCCAGUCGUGGGGGAUAACGUAGCGAAAGUUACGCUAAUACCGCAUACGAUCUAAGGAUGAAAGCGGGGACUCGCAAGAGCCUCGCGCGAUUGGAGCGGCCGAUAUCAGAUUAGGUAGUUGGUGGGUAAAGGCUCACCAAGCCAACGAUCUGUAGCUGGUCUGAGAGGACGACCAGCCACACUGGAACUGAGACACGGUCCAGACUCCUACGGGAGGCAGCAGUGGGGAAUUUUGGACAAUGGACGAAAGUCUGAUCCAGCCCAUUCCCGCGUGCAGGAUGAAGGCCCUCGGUUGUAAACUGCUUUUGUACAGACGAAAAGGUCUCUAUUAAUACUGGGGGCUCAUGACGGUACUGUAAGA